rnacentral:miRNA from 1 species
GGCCACCUCUAUGAGCUCCCACACACAUACUACUGUAUAUGUGUGUGGGAGCUCAUUGAGGUGGCC